AGUGAACGCUGGCGGCAGGCCUAACACAUGCAAGUCGAACGGACAUUUCGGGGUUGGUGGGGGACGGGCGAGUAAGACGCGGGAACGAGCAUUUAGCUACGUGAUGGCUCCUGGAAGCGGGGGGUAAUGACGAAUGUGGCCUAUGGGCGGAAGAUUGCUCGGCUUUAGAGCGGCCCGCGUCUGAUUAGCUAGUUGGUGAGGUAAUGGCUCACCAAGGCGACGAUCAGUAGCUGGUCUGAGAGGAUGACCAGCCAGAUUGGGACUGAGACACGGCCCAGACUCCUACGGGAGGCAGCAGUGGGGAAUCUUGCGCAAUGGGCGAAAGCCUGACGUAGCCAUGCCGCGUGGAGGAUGAAGGCCUUAGGAUUGUAAACUCCUUUCACCGGUGAAGAUUAUGACUGUAGCCGGAGAAGAAGCCCCGGCUAACUUCGUGCCAGCAGCCGCCGUAA
rnacentral:rRNA from 1 species